GACUUCGUAGCUCAGUUGGUAAAGCAUUUACCGCAUUUGGGCAUGUUGUUUCUGUCGCUGGUUCGAAUCCAGCCGAAGUCC